rnacentral:misc_RNA from 1 species
GAUUAUCCUAGUCCUCCACCAGAGUAUGAUACUUGCUUGGGUGACUUGUACAGUGUUGCUUGGUUGGAAGACAGUGAUAAUCACAAUUUGAAGACGGAAACUUUACGCCAGCAAUAUGAACUGGUGAAGAAAAGAACGCUAAGUGAUGAUUAUGGUUAUGGCUCCCAUGUCAUGCAAUAUGGUGAUCUAACGCUCAACAAGAACGCUUUGUUCUCAUAUCUGGGUACAGAUCCUGCUAAUGAGAACAACACUUUCGUAGAGAAGAACUCCUUGAGGAGGCCAGCCACAAAAGUCACCAAUCAGCGUGACGCCGAUCUGGUCCACUUUUGGGAGAAGUUUCGCAAAGCUCCAGAAGGCUCCCACGGGAAAAUCGUAGCUCAGAAGAAGUUUGUGGAAGCAAUGUCCCAUAGAGUUCAUAUCGAUAACAGUGUGAAGCUAAUCGGAAAGCUGUUAUUUGGAAUUGAAAAAGGUCCUGAGGUGCUUGAUGCCAUCCGUCCUGCAGGACGACCCCUUGUCGACGACUGGGACUGUCUUAAGAAUAUGGUUAGGAGCUUUGAGGCACGCUGUGGAUCCCUCUCCCAGUACGGAAUGAAACACAUGAGAUCCUUCGCAAACCUAUGCAAUGCUGGAAUCAGCAAGGAGAAGAUGGCGGAGGCAUCAGCACAAGCUUGCGUAAGCGUCCCUCCAGGCCCAUGGAGCUCUCUGCACAAGGGCUUCACUGCAUGAUGAUGAAGCCAAGCCACUCAUCCAAUUUGGAAGUACGUUUCUCCAACCAUUGUUUAUAUCAUCUAUGUUUUAAUGGGUCUGUCGAUGACGAGCUAUCUGUAAAUACAAACUACAGGCCGUUGUGUAAGGGA